rnacentral:rRNA from 1 species
AUAUCACUAAGCGGAGGAAAAGAAAUUAUCGAAGAUUGCCUCAGUAGCGGCGAGCGAAGUGGCAAAAGCUCAAGUCGAAUCUGUGACCCUCGGUCACUGAAUUGUAAUCUUAAGGGGUUAACAAAAGGGAAGAUUGAGGCAUAAGUCGCUUGGAACAGCGCGCCAAAGAGGGUGAUAGCCCCGUAUUUGGCCUCUAUCAACCUGAAUGUUGGCUCUCAUAGAGUCGGGUUGUUUUGUAUUGCAGCCCUAAGUGGGAGAUAAACUUCUUCUAAGGCUAAAUAUAUAUGGGAGACCGAUAGCGCACAAGUA